rnacentral:rRNA from 1 species
GACGAACGCUGGCGGCGUGCUUAACACAUGCAAGUCGAACGGUAAGGCCCUUCGGGGUACACGAGUGGCGAACGGGUGAGUAACACGUGGUGAUCUGCCCUGCACUUUGGGAUAAGCCUGGGAAACUGGGUCUAAUACCGAAUAUGACCAUGGACUUCACGGUUUGUGGUGGAAAGCUUUUGCGGUGUGGGAUGGGCCCGCGGCCUAUCAGCUUGUUGGUGGGGUAAUGGCCUACCAAGGCGACGACGGGGUAGCCGGCCUGAGAGGGUGACCGGCCACACUGGGACUGAGAUACGGCCCAGACUCCUACGGGAGGCAGCAGUGGGGAAUAUUGCACAAUGGGCGCAAGCCUGAUGCAGCGACGCCGCGUGGGGGAUGACGGCCUC